rnacentral:lncRNA from 1 species
CUCCGAAAAAUCACCAUGAUAAGCUAAGAGGACUGUUUCUGCAAGCAAGACAUUCCAACAUGAAAGGAUAAAAAAUAUCAUUGAAAACCUUACAUUGCCAUAUUAUUGGGAAGCCAUUCUCACCUCAUGCAAUCAUUUCUUAAGUCAGUGAAAAGAAAAGCAUUUCUGCUUUUCCAGAUGUGCCAUAGUACAAAGACGAAGAAUUGCAGGUUUUCCCUCUUGCUGGCUAUCUAAAAAGGAGACAAUUGUAGACCAAUAGGUGAUAAUAUCCAUGGGAUCCAAGAGACUAGAACGCAGACAUAAGGGAGAAUUGAUCCAUACUGCACUAGCUUUGGGGCAAAGGAAGAAAAGAUAUAUGAUAGCAAGUUUCUAUUUCACCAUACCAUUUACAAGACGGAUCAAUAUGGGGAAGCCGGCAAUGAAGAAGAUCAUUAAUAGGCAAGUAAUUCCUCAACAAC